UACGGAGGGGACUAGCGUUGUUCGGAAUUACUGGGCGUAAAGCGCACGUAGGCGGAUUUGUAAGUCAGGGGUGAAUCCCGGGGCUCAACCUCGGAACUGCCUUUGAUACUGCAAAUCUCGAGUCCGGAAGAGGUGAGUGGAAUUCCUAGUGUAGAGGUGAAAUUCGUAGAUAUUAGGAAGAACACCAGUGGCGAAGGCGGCUCACUGGUCCGUACUGACGCUGAGGUGCGAAAGCGUGGGGAGCAAACAGG
rnacentral:rRNA from 1 species